AACAUACCUGGUUGGGUAGCGACUGUGAUCACGCAGGCAGUCCUACUAUCUGGCUGCUGCGACUUGCACUUCUCGCAGCGGCCGGGUAGUGCUGGUCCCCAAUGGGGGCCAGCACACAGCUUAAUUUUUGGUAGCGGUGGAGAGAUGCGCUUGCGCGUCGACCCACCAUU
rnacentral:snRNA from 1 species